rnacentral:rRNA from 1 species
UACGGAGGGUGCGAGCGUUGUCCGGAAUCAUUGGGCGUAAAGGGCGCGUAGGUGGCCCCUCAAGCGUGCGGUGAAAGUCAGGGGCUCAACCCCUGAUCGGCCGUGCGAACUGGGGAGCUUGAGCACUGUAGAGGCAGGCGGAAUUCCGGGUGUAGCGGUGGAAUGCGUAGAGAUCCGGAAGAACACCGGUGGCGAAGGCGGCCAACUGGACCGGUAUUGACGCUGAGGCGCGAAAGCGUGGGGAGCAAACAGG